rnacentral:rRNA from 1 species
AGCGUAGACGGUGUUGCAAGUCUGAUGUGAAAGGCGGGGGCUCAACCCCUGGACUGCAUUGGAAACUGUGAUACUCGAGUGCCGGAGAGGUAAGCGGAAUUCCUAGUGUAGCGGUGAAAUGCGUAGAUAUUAGGAGGAACACCAGUGGCGAAGGCGGCUUACUGGACGGUAACUGACGUUGAGGCUCGAAAGCGUGGGGAGCAAACA